AAAACCUCCAAUUUCGUCCGUAAGAAGUCUCUGCAAUUCUAUCUUCUAUUGGCAUUCUACCUUCAAACAAUUAGGUGUAUCGUGUAAAUAGUUAAGUAUCGUGAAAAAAGAGGUGUCUUUCAGCUCGCCUUUAAGGGGUGGUGACUAAAUUACUGGAAGGUAGAUUGUCGCUAGAUGGCAGUACAGGAUAUCUAUAAAAUGACCGAAAGAAAUGGUAAACCAGAGAAUAGCAUUUGUCAACAAAUGCCAGCAAAUGGGUCAAAUGCCAUUCCGUAAGUGUCGUACAAAAUAUCGACAAUAUUUAGCAACAAAUUUGACACUAAUUUGCAAACACAAUACAUCACGUUUUGAUAUACUUGAGAAGGAAUGUUUCUUUUACCUACGCCGACUAUAAGUGCUUGCAUUACUCACGUCGGAAAUGACGAACGCAAGUGACGUCGCCGAACGUGAUCGUCUGUGUCCACAAAAAGGAAACCGAAAAAAAAAAAAAAAAAAUUCGUAUACGAUAUUUCACAUCCGUGUGUCUAUAAAGUGACGUGUCGACCGUCGGCGGCGACUCGUUUCAUUUGGACGCCAAGUCGAAACGUGAAAUCUGAAUCUUUGCUAAUUCCUCUCAAUCGGACCGUCCACUCGUCGUCAUUAAUUUGACAAUCGACACGGGGUACUUGGCUUAUGGCAACAGCCCGUUUUGCCAUACUCAAUCCUGUUUACAAAAUUUAAUUACAGAGAUAACUUACCAAUGGCUUUGAGAUACUCUUCGAAAUUUUCCUGGCUAACGAGAUAAUAUUUGCCGACUACCUGGGCCAUGAAAGCUGAUCGUUUUUGGUCGUGAUCUUGCAUGAUGGACUAUAUCGGCGAUGGUCGAUGAAGGUUCGUUUUGGUGGUGUGUGUGUCGCACAGGUGACAGUCAACUGCCUAUUCCACUGGCAUGUGUGUGCUUUUUAACCAUCAGAGUGUACGGCAAGAUUAUCGACGAAAACGGUCGGAUCAGCGCUGAAUCAGGCGCCUGUGUUGUUUAGCAACCACAGCUGGACAACAGUUCAGUCAUCAGCAGAAUGUUAGAAAACCAGUUUCCGAUAGUAACGGGCAUACUGCUCAUGACCACAUCAUUAUUUAUUGACACACACCGCCAGAGCCGAAAACUCUCCAGUAUCAAUAAUACGGACACAAUAUCGGGUCGGUGAAUCAAUACGUGUAUUUAUUAAUUGAUUUUUUCAUCUUCUGACUUAGAUGAGAUCAAUAUUGAAAGGCAACAACGAGGUGCAUGGCCAGUUGUGAGUCUAUGCAAAAUAGGACAACAAACAGAGUGUCGGAUUUCGACACACAAAUAAUGAGCUCGCCAUCCGGCCGUUUUAUUCGCGUUUGAAACGACGAGUGCAACGGACAUCGCCGCAAGUCAUCGUCUAUGAUUCAGGUGAAAUGCACCAAAUAUUGGGAUUCGAUUAUUAUGUAAAAUGGAACAUAUGUGUUCAACAUUACCGCUGUCCAAUCGUCGCCGUCGACCUCGUGGACGAUAACAGCUUCCUUGUCACCCCAAAACUCUUUGGCAAUUAAUUUAUCUCCAUCGAGAUUGUACGUAGCCUUAGAUUGUCAUCGGAGUCAUCAGAAUCGUUUUCAACUGUUGUAAAUGUAUUUGGAUUUAUUUGUACCUUGAUUUGACGACCAUCAGGUGUAUGCAUCUCCUGCUCUACGCCCAACUUAAAUUUAAUGGUGACGUCACGUGUGCCCGUGUGAAUCGUCAAGUUCCACACCUCGUCUACAAUAGCGCAUUCGAUGUGGGCCUUGACACUGGCGGCCAUGGAUCUCAUUGGAACGUUCACGCCUACCCAAACGAAAAGCCACUUGAAUUGAGAACAACUAGAUUAGGUUAACAUACAAAUACCUAUAGCUUUGAGAUAUUCAUCCAGGUUCUCUUGACUGAUCAUUUGGUAUUUACCAACAAAGUGCUGACCGGCAGACAUUUUAUUUGGUUCGUAGGUAACGGUACUGGUUAGCUUGUCUUCGUCAAGUUGCCGCGUCUGACUGAACUAAACAGGUAGCCUGACUCUCAGACUUAUAAGAGUUAUGUUAAACCAAAGGAUCGUAAAUGAAAUCAGGUUUGUUGUGGCAAUGGUUUGAUGUGUUUUCACCGUUGUCAUGACGUUCGUCAGUUUGCUCCGCCGUUCCACGACACAGGUCGAGCCUACGACAUAUUUAAUGAACAGACUCUCAUCAAAUUUUUACCCGUCCUUUCGAUCGACUUUGUACACACACAAAAACAAAAAAAAAAAAGAAAGGUAAGAGCACUAAAUCAAAGAAAUAUUAGAAUGGGUUUGUAUUUCUCUCGGUUCCGUACGGGGCGGACAGAGGACGGGAUUUUGUGGUUGGGGGAGGGGAUUCGUUAUAUUAAUUUUUUGUUUUGUUUGUAUGUGAGCAAGUUCUGUCUAUCAUACACGGAUCAAGUAAAUCAUACGGUGUGGUGCAAGGAAGGGGGAAGGGCAGAAUUGCUGAUUGGCAGCUAGUUGAUAAUCAAACAGAAAAUGCUUGGAGCAACAAGUGGGUGAGAGUGCCAGAUAAGAAAAAGGGGAAAAAGAAGAAAACGACAAGACCAACAAAG